rnacentral:rRNA from 1 species
UACGUGGGCAGCGAGCGUUGUUCGGAGUUACUGGGCGUAAAGAGUGCGUAGGCGGUUUUCUAAGUUUGGUGUGAAAUCUCCCGGCUUAACUGGGAGGGUGCGCCGAAGACUGGAAGGCUUGAGUAUGGGAGAGGUAAGCGGAAUUCCUGGUGUAGCGGUGAAAUGCGUAGAUAUCAGGAGGAACACCUGCGGUGUAGAUGGCUUACUGGACCAUAACUGACGCUGAGGCACGAAAGCGUGGGUAGCAAACAGG